rnacentral:rRNA from 1 species
CCUACGGGUGGCAGCAGUGAGGAAUAUUGGUCAAUGGGCGUAAGUCUGAACCAGCCAAGCCGCGUGCGGGAUGACGGUUCUAUGGAUUGUAAACCUCUUUUAUACGGGAAUAAAGUGUGGGACGUGUCCUAUUUUGUAUGUACCUUAUGAAUAAGGAUCGGCUAACUCCGUGCCAGCAGCCGCGGUAAUACGGAGGAUUCGAGCGUUAUCCGGAUUUAUUGGGUUUAAAGGGUGCGUAGGCGGCCUUUUAAGUCAGCGGUGAAAGUCUGUGGCUCAACCUUGGAAUUGCCGUUGAUACUGGGUGGCUAGAGUAUGGUUGAGGCAGGCGGAAUGCGUGGUGUAGCGGUGAAAUGCUUAGAUAUCACGCAGAACCCCGAUUGCGAAGGCAGCCUGCCAAGCCAUGACUGACGCUGAGGCACGAAAGCGUGGGGAGCAAACAGGAUUAGAUACCCUUGUAGUC